rnacentral:rRNA from 2 species
UGGCUCAGGACGAACGCUGGCGGCGUGCUUAAUACAUGCAAGUCGAACGAACUCUGGUAUUGAUUGGUGCUUGCAUCAUGAUUUACAUUUGAGUGAGUGGCGAACUGGUGAGUAACACGUGGGAAACCUGCCCAGAAGCGGGGGAUAACACCUGGAAACAGAUGCUAAUACCGCAUAACAACUUGGACCGCAUGGUCCGAGCUUGAAAGAUGGCUUCGGCUAUCACUUUUGGAUGGUCCCGCGGCGUAUUAGCUAGAUGGUGGGGUAACGGCUCACCAUGGCAAUGAUACGUAGCCGACCUGAGAGGGUAAUCGGCCACAUUGGGACUGAGACACGGCCCAAACUCCUACGGGAGGCAGCAGUAGGGAAUCUUCCACAAUGGACGAAAGUCUGAUGGAGCAACGCCGCGUGAGUGAAGAAGGGUUUCGGCUCGUAAAACUCUGUUGUUAAAGAAGAACAUAUCUGAGAGUAACUGUUCAGGUAUUGACGGUAUUUAACCAGAAAGCCACGGCUAACUACGUGCCAGCAGCCGCGGUAAUACGUAGGUGGCAAGCGUUGUCCGGAUUUAUUGGGCGUAAAGCGAGCGCAGGCGGUUUUUUAAGUCUGAUGUGAAAGCCUUCGGCUCAACCGAAGAAGUGCAUCGGAAACUGGGAGACUUGAG